rnacentral:rRNA from 1 species
CGACCGGCGCACGGGUGAGUAACGCGUAUGCAACCUGCCUGAUACCGGGGUAUAGCCCAUGGAAACGUGGAUUAACACCCAUAGUACUUUUAUCCUGCAUGGGAUGUGAGUUAAAUGUUCAAGGUAUCGGAUGGGCAUGCGUCCUAUUAGUUAGUUGGCGGGGUAACAGCCCACCAAGACGAUGAUAGGUAGGGGUUCUGAGAGGAAGGUCCCCCACAUUGGAACUGAGACACGGUCCAA